rnacentral:rRNA from 1 species
CAACCCAGACCGCCAGCUAAGGUCCCAAAGUCAUGGUUAAGUGGGAAACGAUGUGGGAAGGCCCAGACAGCCAGGAUGUUGGCUUAGAAGCAGCCAUCAUUUAAAGAAAGCGUAAUAGCUCACUGGUCGAGUCGGCCUGCGCGGAAGAUGUAACGGGGCUAAACCAUGCACCGAAGCUGCGGCAGCGACACUCAGGUGUUGUUGGGUAGGGGAGCGUUCUGUAAGCCUGCGAAGGUGGCCUGUGAGGGUUGCUGGAGGUAUCAGAAGUGCGAAUGCUGACAUAAGUAACGAUAAAGCGGGUGAAAAGCCCGCUCGCCGGAAGACCAAGGGUUCCUGUCCAACGUUAAUCGGGGCAGGGUGAGUCGACCCCUAAGGCGAGGCCGAAAGGCGUAGUCGAUGGGAAACGGGUUAAUAUUCCCGUACUUGGUGUUACUGCGAAGGGGGGACGGAGAAGGCUAUGUUGGCCGGGCGACGGUUGUCCCGGUUUAAGCGUGUAGGUGUGUGUUCCAGGUAAAUCCGGUUCACUUUAACACUGAGGCGUGAUGACGAGGCACUACGGUGCUGAAGCAACAAAUGCCCUGCUUCCAGGAAAAGCCUCUAAGCAUCAGGUAACAUCAAAUCGUACCCCAAACCGACACAGGUGGUCAGGUAGAGAAUACCAAGGCGCUUGAGAGAACUCGGGUGAAGGAACUAGGCAAAAUGGUGCCGUAACUUCGGGAGAAGGCACGCUGACACGUAGGUGAAGUGAUUUACUCAUGGAGCUGAAGUCAGUCGAAGAUACCAGCUGGCUGCAACUGUUUAUUAAAAACACAGCACUGUGCAAACACGAAAGUGGACGUAUACGGUGUGACGCCUGCCCGGUGCCGGAAGGUUAAUUGAUGGGGUCAGCGCAAGCGAAGCUCCUGAUCGAAGCCCCGGUAAACGGCGGCCGUAACUAUAACGGUCCUAAGGUAGCGAAAUUCCUUGUCGGGUAAGUUCCGACCUGCACGAAUGGCGUAAUGAUGGCCAGGCUGUCUCCACCCGAGACUCAGUGAAAUUGAACUCGCUGUGAAGAUGCAGUGUACCCGCGGCAAGACGGAAAGACCCCGUGAACCUUUACUAUAGCUUGACACUGAACAUUGAGCCUUGAUGUGUAGGAUAGGUGGGAGGCUUUGAAGUGUGGACGCCAGUCUGCAUGGAGCCGACCUUGAAAUACCACCCUUUAAUGUUUGAUGUUCUAACGUGGACCCGUAAUCCGGGUUGCGGACAGUGUCUGGUGGGUAGUUUGACUGGGGCGGUCUCCUCCUAAAGAGUAACGGAGGAGCACGAAGGUUGGCUAAUCCUGGUCGGACAUCAGGAGGUUAGUGCAAUGGCAUAAGCCAGCUUGACUGCGAGCGUGACGGCGCGAGCAGGUGCGAAAGCAGGUCAUAGUGAUCCGGUGGUUCUGAAUGGAAGGGCCAUCGCUCAACGGAUAAAAGGUACUCCGGGGAUAACAGGCUGAUACCGCCCAAGAGUUCAUAUCGACGGCGGUGUUUGGCACCUCGAUGUCGGCUCAUCACAUCCUGGGGCUGAAGUAGGUCCCAAGGGUAUGGCUGUUCGCCAUUUAAAGUGGUACGCGAGCUGGGUUUAGAACGUCGUGAGACAGUUCGGUCCCUAUCUGCCGUGGGCGCUGGAGAACUGAGGGGGGCUGCUCCUAGUACGAGAGGACCGGAGUGGACGCAUCACUGGUGUUCGGGUUGUCAUGCCAAUGGCACUGCCCGGUAGCUAAAUGCGGAAGAGAUAAGUGCUGAAAGCAUCUAAGCACGAAACUUGCCCCGA